CUUUUUUCACCUUCUCAACCUGAGCAGACAGACACCUGGCCACUCUCAGCCUGAUUCAAGGGCUACUAGUGAUGAGGUCACAGACGAGGAGCAGCUGGGCCUCAAAAUCCUCCCCUCAACAUGCAUGCCUGUAUGAGAGAGAAGUGACCACAGCUGAGACUGGUCGGCUGUUUGGGCCUAGUUUGUGAUUUUCUCGGUGUGAGGAGGAGGAAAGAGCGGGACAUGCCCCUGAUAGAUCCCGCAGAACCACACAACACCCAAAGACCCCUAGAAUACAAAACUUAACUGAACUCAGACCAACUCAACUCAAACGCCUCCCUCCCUCACACUCAGCUCCUCGCGCUCUGUACAGACUGAGGCUGAUGAGAUAAGACGGUUUAAAUGAACGGGAUUAACGUGGAGGAAAGUUCAGAUAAAAUAAGUAGCUAGUUAUAUAUCAGAGACUGACAGACCGGCUC